CUCCAUUCUUGAAGCCAAUCUUUUUCAAGAAAUGACUAAGCAGCACCUGUUGUUGAAGACAGCAAUAAAGCCUGAACCUGACACUCAAGCUUUGGUACAGGAUCAGUUUUCUGGCUUGGACUGGUCAGGAGUCACUUCACUCAGAAUCUUCAUUAGUGAUUUUAAGCGAUUGUGCGUUAGCACUAUCUUCUCUUUCAGCUAGGAAGAGAAAUAUAUAGAUAUCAGGGCAUCUUUUUUUAUUUUUACUUAUUUUAAGAGACAGGGUCUCACUCUGUUGCCUGAGCUGGAGUACAGUGGCACAUUCAUAGUUCACUGCAGCCUCAAGCUCCUGCUCUCAAGUGAUCCUCCCACUUCAGCCUCCUGAUUAGCUAGGACUACAGUCAUGUGUUUUAAAUUUUCUUUGUAGAGAUGGGGGUCUUGCUUUGUUGCCCAGGCUGGUGUUGAACUCCUGGCAGUCAGUGAUCCUCCCAAAGUGCUGGAAUUACAGACAUGAGCCACCACACCAAGAUGGAUAUCUGGGCAUUUUAAGCUUAACUGUCAAUUUGCUGGUCACAAACACCAUUUCAAAUUUAAGCUAGUUUAUAUCUAGUAAUUGGGAGCUGGCAAUGUCUAAAUGCAUUUGAGGAAUAAAUUUCUUCUAAUUCUGGAAGAACUUUAUACAACAACGUAGCGCACAGUAAGAUCUUCAGAUGUGGCCAGGAAUUCUUAAUAACUGUUUCAUCACUCUUAUGUCUG
rnacentral:lncRNA from 10 species